CUCUUAUUAGAUGAUGACUGUCAUGUGUCAUAUUUUGAUUGGAUGCCAACUUCAUGAAAGGUGAAAUGUAUUAUUGUUUUCAUUGACCAAUCAGAACAUGACACGUGACAAUCAUCAUCU
rfam:Glycine soja cultivar W05 scaffold2837_57, whole genome shotgun sequence.